AGGAUCUGAUCUUCUGCCUGAAAUAUCUAAAGAGCUUUAGAAGUGUCAGUGCACACCUGAGAAUUUGAAGUUUUAAUACUCUGUGAAUAUUGUCAGUGGGCAGAGCCAAUCUGACAACUGGCCAGUAAGAGAAACAAAAUAAAGAUAAAGCUCAAAGAGAACCUACAAGGAACCUGAAACCAACUUUCAGAAUAAACCGAUCAUAAAAACCAGAGGCCUAAGACAGACAAAAUCACAAGCCACACCAGGAAACACGAAGAUAUGGCCCAGCCAAAGGAACAUCUAACGCCUCAACUGAGAUUCAGGAGUUGAAGUAAUGUUUUUGACUGGUAACAGCGAAAAGAAUAAAACGUGUAUGAAAGUGAAAAGCAACCCUAGGGGACCCACUGGGGGAGAUUCCUUAUGAUGAGGCACAUAAGGAGAAAUGAUCUAAAACCAAGAUGGCAGCAAGAAGAGGAAAAGGACAACUGCCAGUGUCAACUAUGCGAAGAAAAUGAUACCAUUCUGCACAACUUACAUAAAACAGCUUAUCCAAUCCUCAGUAUAGCCAUAUGUGGUGGGUUUUGUUACCAUCAACCCAAGUCUCAUGGGGAAAUGAAGGCAUAAAUUUGGAUGUCCUCACUCUUAUGUGCUUCUUUGUGGAAGAUACAACAUAUAUACCGAAUCAUGUGAGCCCAAUGUUGAUCCUCUGAACAACUGACCUGCACUUACGACUCAGCCAUGGAGUAUUAGACAAUGUACAUUAGACGUCUAGCAUCUGUGCAUGUGCCUAACAUUUCCCAAGCUUACAGAGUUCCCGGACAUUUCAGAAGAUAACCUCAGUAGUCACAUCACCAGGGCACCUAUCAGUUCAUCUUAUUGCAACUUCCACAUGUUUGAGGUCAGUCAUGGACCUGCAAACUCAAAGUCACCACUUUGAACAAUGAGGUCUAAAUCUGAUAGAGAUGGAUCACUCCUCAUUACCCGGCCAGUAUCUGAUUAGAACUGGGGAGAAACUUUAAUAUAUUUGACUUACAUUAUUACCAUGUGCCCUAGAAAUGCUCCAAUCUUGCAAGUUGCUCACAUUAUGGACAGUGACCAAUAGGAACUCAAAAUCCCUCUUGGUUUUUGGCCUGUGUCAUCCCUGUUGAACAGUCUUGUGCACCUGGGUUAGAAGCCUCUGUGCUCAACCAGUGCUGGCUCUCCUUAGUGAACUCUCCCACUGUGAGCUGCUUAGUACAAGCACUGAGAAACAGCUCUCUGAAUGAAAACACACACAUGGAAUAGAAAGGAACACUAGAAGAAAACAUUAUAUGUUUCACAGUGGAUAUUUUUAAAUAGUAGGUUUGAACUGUAUGCAAAUUUUCAACAAUUACCUUUAUAAUUACAGAUUAGUGUUUAAAUACAACAGCAUAUUUUGUCUACAAUUCAGUCAGAUCACUCAAGAGUAUAAAAUCCCAUACAAGAGAUGACAAACAUAGGGGCAACAUAUGUGGAUCCUUGGAAGAUGUAAAGAAGAUACAGGGAUUUAGGCUCAGCCUCCAAACGGGGAGGAGAAAUGAAGACACUCAGUCUUUGUACCACAGGGUAUAUUAUAGUAUGCUCCAAUUUGUAGAUUGAAUAUUUCAUGUCACUAUAGUUUGCUAUGGUGGGAAAGUCGAGGAAUCUGUUUCUUAUUUCUUUCUUGAUCCUCUGCUUUCCCUCUCUUUUUGUAUUUGUCAAAUUGGUCAAUAAUGAUGCACUUUUUUCUUUGUGUUUAUCAUUGCAAAUUUGUUUAAAUCUUGUUUAAUACUCUUGAACAAGAAAUACCAAAAUAAUCCAUAGUAACACACAGUAGAUGUAUAAGGUGUUUCAUUGGUUAGGCAACAAUGCAGGCUAAGUAAGAUAAAUACCGAUCUUAAAUGGAAGGGUUCUUUUUCACUGUCUUUCUGAUUAAUGGAUUCUCUAUAUUCACAUACAAGUCCAUGCAAUUUUCUCAUCACAUUUUGAAGUGCUGAUCAGGAUUAUUAUUUUUUAUUUUUGCUUUGUUAGUAGUGUUAAACACGAGAUUGUUCCAUGACAAAAUUUAUUCAUUGAACAGGUAGUUUUUUUCAUAUAGAAUUAUUGCCAGCCUACAAAUGCAGUUAACACAUUAGCUUUGGAAGUCUUGUUCUCUGAAUUUUGUAUUAAAUUUAUAAGGCUAUAAAAGACAGGUCUAAAAAGAUACUCCUGACAUAUGUGUCCAAGGUACAGGUUCCAUUUUUACAAGCUGUCACCACAUUAUGUGGUUUGCACAAGAUUUACUGACAUGGUGUGUGUCUCUUGUAUGAUGUGGAUGCCUCCGACACCCAACAUAGUGACAUGAUUAUAAAGAUGAACACCAGGGGUAGGUGUGAAUGUGGAGGAAUGGAACUCUUCCAUGAUGCUGUGGGGUGGACACUGUUUCAGCCAUACUGGGAAUCAGUUUUCCAGUGUGGAUUACAGUUAUCUGUAUGUCUGACCCAGAAAUCACUCUCCUGGUUACAUAGAUCCAGGAAACCUAAAUGAGACAUGAAUGCUUAUGUCCCCUCAAAGGCCUCUGCAAACUCAUUCAAAGUCGUAUCAUUCUGGGUAUCCCUCC